ACUCAAUAGAUACCCUGGUAGUCCACGCCGUAAACGAUGGAUGCUAGCUGUUAGAGGUAUCGACCCCUCUAGUAGCGAAAGCUAACGCGUUAAGCAUCCCGCCUGUGGAGUACGGUCGCAAGACUAAAACAUAAAGGAAUUGACGGGGACCCGCACAAGCGGUGGAGCGUGUUGUUUAAUUCGAUGGUAAACGAAGAACCUUACCCAGGCUUGACAUCCUUGGAAUUUCUCCGAAAGGAGAAAGUGCUUUAUUGAGCCAAGUGACAGGUGAUGCAUGGCCGUCGUCAGCUCGUGUCGUGAGAUGUUUGGUUAAGUCCAUCAACGAGCGCAACCCUUAUGGUCUGUUGUAUUUUUCAGGCCAGACUGCCCUGGUAACAGGGAGAAGGAGGGGACGAUGUCAGGUCAGUAUUUCCCUUACGUCUGGGGCUACAAACACGCUACAAUGGCCGGUACAAAGGGCAGCCAAGUCGCGAGACGGAGCAAAUCCCAUCAAAGCCGGUCUCAGUUCGGAUAGCAGGCUGAAACUCGCCUGCUUGAAGUC
rnacentral:rRNA from 1 species